rnacentral:rRNA from 1 species
GACGAAGGGGGCUAGCGUUGUUCGGAAUUACUGGGCGUAAAGCGAGUGUAGGUGGUUGUCCAAGUUGGAUGUGAAAGCCUUGAGCUCAACUCAAGAAAUGCAUUCAGGACUGGGCGGCUAGAGGACCGGAGAGGAUAGUGGAAUUCCCAGUGUAGUGGUGAAAUACGUAGAGAUUGGGAAGAACACCAGUGGCGAAGGCGGCUAUCUGGACGGUUUCUGACACUAAGACUCGAAAGCGUGGGGAGCAAACAGGAGUUAGAA